UACGUAGGGGGCAAGCGUUGUCCGGAUUUAUUGGGCGUAAAGAGCGUGUAGGCGGCCAAACAGGUCAGCUGUGAAAACUCGAGGCUCAACCCUCGAGACGUCGGUUGAAACCGUUUGGCUAGAGUCCGGAAGAGGAGAGUGGAAUUCCCGGUGUAGCGGUGAAAUGCGCAGAUAUCGGGAAGAACACCCGUGGCGAAGGCGGCUCUCUGGGACGGUACUGACGCUGAGACGCGAAAGCGUGGGGAGCGAACAGG
rnacentral:rRNA from 1 species